GAGGCGAACCGGGGGAACUGAAACAUCUAAGUACCCCGAGGAAAAGAAAUCAACCGAGAUUCCGAAAGUAGCGGCGAGCGAAAUUGGACUAGCCCUUAAGCUUUACACGCGUUAGACGAACGGUCUGGAAAGUCCGACGAUACAGGGUGAUAGUCCCGUAGUUGACGACGUGUGUUCAGUGAAAUCGAGUAGGGCGGGACACGUGAUAUCCUGUCUGAAUAUGGGGGGACCAUCCUCCAAGGCUAAAUACUACUGACUGACCGAUAGUGAACCAGUACCGUGAGGGAAAGGCGAAAAGAACCCCUGUGAGGGGAGUGAAAUAGAACCUGAAACCGUGUACGUACAAGCAGUAGGAGCAGGCUUGUCCUGUGACUGCGUACCUUUUGUAUAAUGGGUCAGCGACUUAUAUUCAGUGGCAAGGUUAACCAUCUAGGGGAGCCGUAGGGAAACCGAGUCUUAACUGGGCGUUCAGUCUCUGGAUAUAGACCCGAAACCAGGUGAUCUAGCCAUGGGCAGGUUGAAGGUUGAGUAACAUCAACUGGAGGACCGAACCGACUAAUGUUGAAAAAUUAGCGGAUGACUUGUGGCUAGGGGUGAAAGGCCAAUCAAACCUGGAGAUAGCUGGUUCUCCCCGAAAGCUAUUUAGGUAGCGCCUCGGACGAAUACUACUGGGGGUAGAGCACUGUUAAGGCUAGGGGGUCAUCCCGACUUACCAACCCUUUGCAAACUCCGAAUACCAGUAAGUACUAUCCGGGAGACACACGGCGGGUGCUAACGUCCGUCGUGGAGAGGGAAACAACCCAGACCGCCAGCUAAGGUCCCAAAUUACUACUAAGUGGGAAACGAUGUGGGAAGGCUCAGACAGCCAGGAUGUUGGCUUAGAAGCAGCCAUCAUUUAAAGAAAGCGUAAUAGCUCACUGGUCGAGUCGGCCUGCGCGGAAGAUGUAACGGGGCUAAGUAGUAAACCGAAGCUGCGGCAAUAUACUUUUGUAUAUUGGGUAGGGGAGCGUUCUGUAAGCGGUUGAAGGUGUGUGGUAACGCAUGCUGGACGUAUCAGAAGUGCGAAUGCUGACAUGAGUAACGAUAAAGGGGGUGAAAAACCUCCUCGCCGGAAGACCAAGGGUUCCUGUCCAACGUUAAUCGGGGCAGGGUAAGUCGACCCCUAAGGCGAGGCCGAAAGGCGUAGUCGAUGGGAAACGGGUUAAUAUUCCCGUACUUCUUACAAUUGCGAUGGGGGGACGGAGAAGGCUAGGUGGGCCUGGCGACGGUUGUCCAGGUUCAAGUGCGUAGGCUUAAGAGUUAGGUAAAUCCGGCUCUUUUUAAGGCUGAGACACGACGUCGAGCACCUACGGGUGUGAAGUCAUUGAUGCCAUGCUUCCAGGAAAAGCCUCUAAGCUUCAGAUUGUAAGGAAUCGUACCCCAAACCGACACAGGUGGUCGGGUAGAGAAUACCAAGGCGCUUGAGAGAACUCGGGUGAAGGAACUAGGCAAAAUGGUACCGUAACUUCGGGAGAAGGUACGCUCUUGAUGGUGAAGUCCCUCGCGGAUGGAGCUGACGAGAGUCGCAGAUACCAGGUGGCUGCAACUGUUUAUUAAAAACACAGCACUGUGCAAAAUCGUAAGAUGACGUAUACGGUGUGACGCCUGCCCGGUGCCGGAAGGUUAAUUGAUGGGGUUAGACUUCGGUCGAAGCUCUUGAUCGAAGCCCCGGUAAACGGCGGCCGUAACUAUAACGGUCCUAAGGUAGCGAAAUUCCUUGUCGGGUAAGUUCCGACCUGCACGAAUGGCGUAAUGAUGGCCACGCUGUCUCCACCCGAGACUCAGUGAAAUUGAAAUCGCUGUGAAGAUGCAGUGUACCCGCGGCUAGACGGAAAGACCCCGUGAACCUUUACUACAGCUUGGCACUGAACAUUGACCCUACAUGUGUAGGAUAGGUGGGAGGCUUUGAAGCACGUACGCCAGUAUGUGUGGAGCCGUCCUUGAAAUACCACCCUUGUAGUGUUGAUGUUCUAACGUCGACCCCUAAUCGGGGUUGCGGACAGUGCCUGGUGGGUAGUUUGACUGGGGCGGUCUCCUCCCAAAGAGUAACGGAGGAGCACGAAGGUGGGCUAAUCACGGUUGGACAUCGUGAGGUUAGUGCAAUGGCAUAAGCCCGCUUGACUGCGAGAAUGACAAUUCGAGCAGGUGCGAAAGCAGGUCAUAGUGAUCCGGUGGUUCUGAAUGGAAGGGCCAUCGCUCAACGGAUAAAAGGUACUCCGGGGAUAACAGGCUGAUACCGCCCAAGAGUUCAUAUCGACGGCGGUGUUUGGCACCUCGAUGUCGGCUCAUCACAUCCUGGGGCUGAAGUCGGUCCCAAGGGUAUGGCUGUUCGCCAUUUAAAGUGGUACGCGAGCUGGGUUUAGAACGUCGUGAGACAGUUCGGUCCCUAUCUGCCGUGGGCGUUGGAAGAUUGAAGGGGGCUGCUCCUAGUACGAGAGGACCGGAGUGGACGAACCUCUGGUGUUCGGGUUGUGUCGCCAGACGCAUUGCCCGGUAGCUAAGUUCGGAAUCGAUAACCGCUGAAAGCAUCUAAGCGGGAAGCGAGCCCUGAGAUGAGUCUUCCCUGAUACUUUAAGUAUCCUAAAGGGUUGUCGGAGACUACGACGUUGAUAGGUCAGGUGUGUAAGUGCUGUGAGGCAUUGAGCUAACUGAUACUAAUUGCCCGUGAGGCUUAACCAUACAACACCCAAGGGGUUU
rnacentral:rRNA from 1 species